rnacentral:SRP_RNA from 15 species
CCUUGCGGAUCGUCCAAGCGCGAACUUCGUCAGGACCGGA